GUCCUCUUGAAUUUAAUUUGAGGUUUAACCUGCCCACUGAUAAAAUUUUAACGGCCGCAGUAAUUUGACUGUGCAAAGGUAGCAUAAUCAUUAGUUUUUUAAUUAAAAGCUUGUAUGAAGGGUUGGACGAGGUAAAAUCUGUCUUUAUUUAAUUUAUAAUAAAAUUUAAUUUUUAAGUUAAAAAGCUUAAAUAAAAAUAAAAGACGAGAAGACCCUAUAGAUCUUUAUAUUAUUUAUAUUAAUUUUAAUAAAGAAUUUUUUAUUAAUUAAUAUUAAUAUUAUUUUAUUGGGGUAAUAAAAAGAUUUAAAUAAUUCUUUUAUAAUUUAUACAUUGAUUAAUGAAUAAAUGAUCCAAUUAUUUUGAUUAAAAGAUUAAGUUACCUUAGGGAUAACAGCGUAAUUUUUUUAAAGAGUUCUUAUCGAUAAAAAAGUUUGCGA
rnacentral:rRNA from 1 species